rnacentral:rRNA from 1 species
GUGCCAGCAGCCGCGGUAAUACGUAGGGUGCAAGCGUUAAUCGGAAUUACUGGGCGUAAGGGGUUCGUAGGUGGUUUGUCGCGUCGUCUGUGAAAUUCUGGGGCUUAACUCCGGGCGUGCAGGCGAUACGGGCAUAACUUGAGUGCUGUAGGGGUAACUGGAAUUCCUGGUGUAGCGGUGAAAUGCGCAGAUAUCAGGAGGAACACCGAUGGCGAAGGCAGGUUACUGGGCAGUUACUGACGCUGAGGAGCGAAAGCAUGGGUAGCGAACAGGAUUAGAUACCCUGGUAGUCCACGCCCUA